rnacentral:rRNA from 1 species
GAUGAACGCUGGCGGUAUGCUUAACACAUGCAAGUCGAACGGACUCUUCGGAGUUAGUGGCGGACGGGUGAGUAACGCGUGAGAAUCUGGCUUUGGGUUCGGGACAACCACUGGAAACGGUGGCUAAUACCGGAUGUGCCGAGAGGUAAAAGAGAAAUUGCCUGAAGAUGAGCUCGCGUCUGAGUAGCUAGUUGGUGAGGUAAAGGCUCACCAAGGCAGCGAUCAGUAGCUGGUCUGAGAGGAUGACCAGCCACACUGGGACUGAGACACGGCCCAGACCCCUGCGGGGGGCAGCAGUGGGGGAUUUUCCGCAAUGGGCGAAAGCCUGACAGAGCAAUACCGCGUGAGGGAAGAAGGUUCUUGGGUUGUAAACCUCUUUUCUUAGGGAAGAACAAAAUGACGGUACCUAACGAAUCAGCAUCGGCUAACUCCGUG